rnacentral:lncRNA from 1 species
GAAGAAUAAUGAGUAAUUAUUGCUGAAUUAAUCAUUAAUUAUUUGAUUUGAUCAUUUAAUUAAUGAUUGGACUUCAUACAAAUUAAAUUAGAUUUAAUUUGGUUCUAAUUGGGUCUAUUCCUAGUCGAAUAAAGAUUUGACUAAACCUAUUUCAAUUUGGUUUAGAACCAAAGGAGAAUAAGGUUAGGAGGUGAGUUCCUAGUUGGAUUGGGACUCUCACUCCUUUUACAUGCCAAC